AUCAUUUCUGCUGUCAAUAUCCAGUAGAACCAGUAAAACCAGUUCCUCCUGACCAUCUGCCCAGCUGCUGGAGCCUCGUCUCCUCUCUGGUGUACUCCUCCUCUCCUCUCCACCAGGGGGCGACAUGCUCCAGCAGGCGGCGCUCUCCUUGUGCUCUGUGUUCCAGCAUUGUGWCAAUAAGAAGUGGUGCUGUGAAGAGAACAACAGUCAGACUGAAUGUUGAACAUCAGCUGCUUUCUCCUGCUGGUUUAAACCUUGUUGGACAGAUGGAACAUUGGCUGUGGAUUAUUCUGGCUGCUCUUUUCUCUGAGUGUAAAGGAGACUCAGUGAAGCAGACAGAAGGAGAAGUUGUUGCUGCUGCAGGAAACUCAGUGACUCUGGAAUGUAAUUAUGAGAGCAGUGUCAGUGUCACAUUGUUCUGGUACAAACUAGAAGAAAACAGUUUUCCACAGUACAUGGUGAAGCAGCUGUCAUCGUCAAAAUAUAAAGCUCCAGAUUUUGACAAUGAUAGAUUUGAUGCUGACUUCAAUAAAGACAAGAAAUCCUUCAACCUGAAGAUCCAGGAUCUCCGUCCGUCAGACUCUGCUGUGUACUACUGCGCUCUGCAGCCCACAGUGACAGGAAACACCAGAACCCUGUACAAAAACCUGCAGUACUCCACAGCGGCCACUAGAGGGCCUCACUCCCUGUUAAACCACUAAAACCUGCAGUACUCCACAGCRGCCACUAGAGGGCUUCRUACAYCAGGUYACAU